rnacentral:piRNA from 1 species
UAUGGAAGAACCUGGAUUAACCA